rnacentral:rRNA from 1 species
CGACCGAAGGCUUGGGGAUUGUUCAACAGCACGCGUGGGUAACCUGCCCUGUACACACGGAUAACAUACCGAAAGGUAUACUAAUACGGGAUAACAUACGAAAGUCGCAUGGCUUUUGUAUCAAAGCUCCGGCGGUACAGGAUGGACCCGCGUCUGAUUAGCUAGUUGGUAAGGUAAUGGCUUACCAAGGCAACGAUCAGUAGCCGACCUGAGAGGGUGAUCGGCCACACUGGAACUGAGACACGGUCCAGACUCCUACGGGAGGCAGCAGUGGGGAAUAUUGCACAAUGGGCGAAAGCCUGAUGCAGCAACGCCGCGUGAGCGAUGAAGGCCUUCGGGUCGUAAAGCUCUGUCCUCAAGGAAGAUAAUGACGGUACUUGAGGAGGAAGCCCCGGCUAACUACGUGCCAGCAGCCGCGGUAAUACGUAGGGGGCUAGCGUUAUCCGGAAUUACUGGGCGUAAAGGGUGCGUAGGUGGUUUUUUAAGUCAGAAGUGAAAGGCUACGGCUCAACCGUAGUAAGCUUUUGAAACUAGAGAACUUGAGUGCAGGAGAGGAGAGUAGAAUUCCUAGUGUAGCGGUGAAAUGCGUAGAUAUUAGGAGGAAUACCAGUAGCGAAGGCGGCUCUCUGGACUGUAACUGACACUGAGGCACGAAAGCGUGGGGAGCAAUACAGGAUUAGAUACCCUGGUAUUCCCACGCCGUAAACGUAUUGAUUACUUAGGUGUCGGGGGUUACCCCCCUCCGGUGCCGC